rnacentral:sRNA from 1 species
GCUGGGCAUGGUGGCGCGUGCCUGUAAUCCCAGCUACUCAGGAGGCUGAGGCAGGAGAAUUGCCUGAACCCAGGAGGCGGAGGUUGCGGUGAGCCGAGAUCGCGCCAUUGCACUCCAGCCUGGGUAACAAGAGCGAAACUUCAUCUCAAAAAAAAAAAAAAAAAAAAAAAGAGAAGGAGUCUCGUUCUGUCACCCAGGCUGGAGUGCAGUGGCAUGAUCCUGGCUCACUGAAACCUCCACCUCCCAGGUUCAAGCAAUUCUCCUACCUCAG